AUGCAAUUAUAUAUAGAGAGAUGUGCUAUAGAUUAGUUAAUCUAUAGUAAUAUAAAAAACAGCAGUUUGAUUUUUGCUAGAUGCACUCGAAAGAAGUGUACACGGAAUAUUUUGAGCCAUAAGAUCUUCCUAUGGAACGGUUCAGAUCGCAACAUUCCAGAUGUGUCUUGCAAUCCAACAUGGAACUCACCCGAUCUGCAGAGCGAUGGCUUUACUGCCCGUCUUCCCCCAAAUCCGCUAGAAAUUGCAGUUGCACCGCUCUAUGCCUUCAUCUGCAAGGAGAUUGCAACCUCCCCCUAAAUCACGCUGAGCUCAAAAUCCGUUGCAUGUAACACUGCCACCGGCAACAGCGAUAAGAGAGGCCUCAUUGUCGCUCACGAUUCAGUCACCAUCAUGUCCAAUGAAUUGAAGCACAAAGUAUUCAAAGUAAGACUGGUACCCUUUUUUUUUUGUAAUUCUUGUUCUAUAUAUCAUCCAUUUGUCAUAUCUUGUCAUGUUGACGUUUUGUUUUAUUUCACUGCAUAGCUUGAAGGGAGAUGAUUGGAUUCUGAUGUCGAAACUCGAUUAGGAUCUGCUCUGCUUCUGCAAUCUGGCCAAAUAAAAUGUAAGAUUAUUUUCUUCUAAGUUGAUAUUGUUAGUAGCAGGGAUGUUAUAUGAUUAGAAUUUAGAAAGCCAGCACGAAUUGUUGUUACUAGUUGUUACUGAAGGUUAUAUACGUCUCACUUCAACUUUUGUUGUAUGUAUCUAUCAGAAAGAGUUUAAUGCUUAAGUUGUUGGACCUACACCAAGAUUACUGUAAGAAAUUCAAAACGAAUGAAUGAACACAAAUAACACAGUGAAACACUCGCUAUGAAGAACGGACAAAUCCUGGCUAAUCUUCGUAUUUGUUAGAGAGUGAAAUCUGUUGAGAAUAUGAUCAGCAUCCAAGGCGCUAGCAACUGCAUGCAAGCAACUGCCUCCGCACCCACGAUCAACAACUGCCAUGCAGUUACCUGUAUCAUGUAUAAAUAUGUACGGUGACCCAUCAAUAAAGAAUAGUUCUUUUCUACGGUCAUUUUACUUCAACACGUUAUCAAGCUCGC
rnacentral:lncRNA from 1 species